rnacentral:rRNA from 1 species
UACGAAGGGGGCUAGCGUUGCUCGGAAUCACUGGGCGUAAAGCGCACGUAGGCGGCUUUCUAAGUCAGGGGUGAAAUCCUGGAGCUCAACUCCAGAACUGCCUUUGAUACUGAAGAGCUUGAGUCCGGGAGAGGUGAGUGGAACUCCGAGUGUAGAGGUGAAAUUCGUAGAUAUUCGGAAGAACACCAGUGGCGAAGGCGGCUCACUGGCCCGGUACUGACGCUGAUGUGCGAAAGCGUGGGGAGCAAACAGG